CGAAUGCUGACGUGAGUAACGACAAAACGGGUGAAAAACCCGUUCGCCGAAAGACCAAGGGUUCCAGUCCAACGUUAAUCGGGGCUGGGUGAGUCGACCCCUAAGGCGAGGCCGAAAGGCGUAGUCGAUGGGAAAAUGGUUAAUAUUCCAUUACUUCUGUGUAAUGCGAUGAGAGGACGGAGAAGGCUAAAUCAGCCUGGCGUUGGUUGUCCAGGUGAAAGGAUGUAGGCAUGUAUCUUAGGCAAAUCCGGGGUACUCUAUGCUGAGAUCUGAUAGCAAGCUGUACUUGUACAGCGAAGUGGUUGAUGCCAUGCUUCCAGGAAAAGUCUCUAAGCUUCAGUUACACAGGAAUCGUACCCGAAACCGACACAGGUGGUCAGGUCGAGUAGACCAAGGCGCUUGAGAGAACUCUGCUGAAGGAACUAGGCAAAAUGGUACCGUAACUUCGGGAGAAGGUACGCUGUUGUUGGUGAUGGAACUCGCUUCCUGAGCUGACGACAGCCGCAGAAACCAGGCCGCUGCAACUGUUUAUUAAAAACAUAGCACUCUGCAAACACGAAAGUGGACGUAUAGGGUGUGAUGCCUGCCCGGUGCUGGAAGGUUAAUUGAUGGGGUUAGCGUAAGCGAAGCUCUUGAUCGAAGCCCCAGUAAACGGCGGCCGUAACUAUAACGGUCCUAAGGUAGCGAAAUUCCUUGUCGGGUAAGUUCCGACCUGCACGAAUGGCAUAAUGAUGGCGGCGCUGUCUCCAGCAGAGGCUCAGUGAAAUCGAAAUCGCUGUGAAGAUGCAGUGUACCCGCGGCUAGACGGAAAGACCCCGUGAACCUUUACUGCAGCUUGACACUGAACUUUGACCUUACUUGUGUAGGAUAGGUGGGAGGCUUUGAAGCUGGAACGCUAGUUCCAGUGGAGCCGUCCUUGAAAUACCACCCUGGUAAUGUUGAGGUUCUAACUCUGUCCCGUGAUCCGGGACGAGGACCGUGUCUGGUGGGUAGUUUGACUGGGGCGGUCUCCUCCUAAAGAGUAACGGAGGAGUACGAAGGUGCGCUCAGCGUGGUCGGAAAUCACGCGUAGAGUAUAAAGGCAAAAGCGCGCUUAACUGCGAGACCCACAAGUCGAGCAGGUACGAAAGUAGGUCUUAGUGAUCC
rnacentral:rRNA from 1 species